rnacentral:rRNA from 1 species
AUUGAACGCUGGCGGCAGGCCUAACACAUGCAAGUCGAGCGGUAGCACAGAGAACUUGCUCUCGGGUGACGAGCGGCGGACGGGUGAGUAAUGUCUGGGAAACUGCCUGAUGGAGGGGGAUAACUACUGGAAACGGUAGCUAAUACCGCAUAACGUCGCAAGACCAAAGUGGGGGACCUUCGGGCCUCAUGCCAUCAGAUGUGCCCAGAUGGGAUUAGCUAGUAGGUGGGGUAACGGCUCACCUAGGCGACGAUCCCUAGCUGGUCUGAGAGGAUGACCAGCCACACUGGAACUGAGACACGGUCCAGACUCCUACGGGAGGCAGCAGUGGGGAAUAUUGCACAAUGGGCGCAAGCCUGAUGCAGCCAUGCCGCGUGUGUGAAGAAGGCCUUCGGGUUGUAAAGCACUUUCAGCGGGGAGGAAGGCGUUAAGGUUAAUAACCUUGGCGAUUGACGUUACCCGCAGAAGAAGCACCGGCUAACUCCGUGCCAGCAGCCGCGGUAAUACGGAGGGUGCAAGCGUUAAUCGGAAUUACUGGGCGUAAAGCGCACGCAGGCGGUCUGUCAAGUCGGAUGUGAAAUCCCCGGGCUCAACCUGGGAACUGCAUUCGAAACUGGCAGGCUAGAGUCUUGUAGAGGGGGGUAGAAUUCCAGGUGUAGCGGUGAAAUGCGUAGAGAUCUGGAGGAAUACCGGUGGCGAAGGCGGCCCCCUGGACAAAGACUGACGCUCAGGUGCGAAAGCGUGGGGAGCAAACAGGAUUAGAUACCCUGGUAGUCCACGCCGUAAACGAUGUCGAUUUGGAGGUUGUGCCCUUGAGGCGUGGCUUCCGGAGCUAACGCGUUAAAUCGACCGCCUGGGGAGUACGGCCGCAAGGUUAAAACUCAAAUGAAUUGACGGGGGCCCGCACAAGCGGUGGAGCAUGUGGUUUAAUUCGAUGCAACGCGAAGAACCUUACCUGGUCUUGACAUCCACAGAACUUUCCAGAGAUGGAUUGGUGCCUUCGGGAACUGUGAGACAGGUGCUGCAUGGCUGUCGUCAGCUCGUGUUGUGAAAUGUUGGGUUAAGUCCCGCAACGAGCGCAACCCUUAUCCUUUGUUGCCAGCGGUUAGGCCGGGAACUCAAAGGAGACUGCCAGUGAUAAACUGGAGGAAGGUGGGGAUGACGUCAAGUCAUCAUGGCCCUUACGACCAGGGCUACACACGUGCUACAAUGGCAUAUACAAAGAGAAGCGACCUCGCGAGAGCAAGCGGACCUCAUAAAGUAUGUCGUAGUCCGGAUUGGAGUCUGCAACUCGACUCCAUGAAGUCGGAGUCGCUAGUAAUCGCAGAUCAGCAACGCUGCGGUGAAUACGUUCCCGGGGCU